GCUCUUGUAGUAUAAUACCAAUACAGUGGUCUUGUAAACCACCAACGAAACCAAACCUUCCAAGAGCA
rnacentral:tRNA from 1 species